rnacentral:lncRNA from 1 species
CGCCUUUUCAAGAGAGCGACAUCGCAAGAAUAUAAGGGGGACUACAUAAGAAUCUAAAUCCCACCAUCUCACGGAUGGAGACUCCUCUGAAUCCUCCAAACUGCUAUUGUCACUCAUUGUACUGGUACAAGCAUGUCCUAUAUUACAUACAGCCUGGCAAGCUGGAGUCUUGCACCUUUAUCUUCACCAGGCUCCAAUGCGACAUGCUUUCUAUGACCUCGAAAGAUGAUCUUCGUUUGAUAACCAUAGCCAAAUGAUUGAAUGAUUGGUACCUCUUGGAACUGCGGCUA